CCUACGGGAGGCAGCAGUGAGGAAUAUUGGUCAAUGGGCGGAAGCCUGAACCAGCCAAGUAGCGUGCAGGAAGACGGCCCUACGGGUUGUAAACUGCUUUUAUCCGGGAGUAACGCGCCUUACGUGUGGGGGUUUGCGUGUACCUUAUGAAUAAGCAUCGGCUAAGUCCGUGCCAGCAGCCGCGGUAAUACGGAGGAUGCGAGCGUUAUCCGGAUUUAUUGGGUUUAAAGGGUGCGUAGGCGGGUUAUCAAGCCAGCGGUAAAAUGGUGGGGCUCAACCCGAGCCUGCCGCUGGAACUGGUGAGCUUGAGUCCGCGGGAAGUAGGCGGAAUGCGUGGUGUAGCGGUGAAAUGCAUAGAUAUGACGAAGAACUCCGAUUGCGAAGGCAGCUUGCUGCAGCGGGACUGACGCUGAUGCACGAAAGCGUGGGUAUCGAACAGGAUUAGAUACCCUAGUAGUC
rnacentral:rRNA from 1 species